rfam:Oryza brachyantha chromosome 7, whole genome shotgun sequence.
AAUAACCCCAUUUUUCGUUUUUCCGUGUCCAACGUUUGACCAUUCGUCUUAUUUGAAAUUUUUUGGUGAUUAAUAUUUUUAUUGUUACUAGAUGAUAAAAUAUGAAUAGUACUUUAUACGUGACUAAUUUUUUAAAGUUUUUGUACAAAUUUUUCAAAUAAGACGAAUGGUCAAACGUUGGACACGGAAAAACGAAAAAUGGGGUUAUU